rnacentral:rRNA from 1 species
UACGUAGGCAGCAAGCGUUGUUCGGAGUUACUGGGCGUAAAGGGUGCGUAGGCGGCUUUUUAAGUUUGGUGUGAAAUCUCCCGGCUCAACUGGGAGGGUGCGCCGAAUACUGAGAGGCUAGAGUGCGGGAGAGGAAAGUGGAAUUCCUGGUGUAGCGGUGAAAUGCGUAGAUAUCAGGAGGAACACCGGUGGUGUAAACGGCUUUCUGGACCGUAACUGACGCUGAUGCGCGAAAGCGUGGGUAGCAAACAGG